rnacentral:lncRNA from 1 species
UACAAAUGUCUAUUAUCUGAAUUUGCAAAUUACUUGUCUAAAAUUUAAAAAAAAAUCAAUGUCCAUAACUUAACAAAGUUGUCUCAUGCCAAUAAAAUAUCUAAAUAUUUUCCCCGGGCGCUUUUUCUGUUCCCCGGGCGCUAUAUUUUCUUCUCCGGGCGCUUUUUAUUUUCCCCGGGCGCUUUUUCUUCACCCGGGCGC